rnacentral:lncRNA from 1 species
UGUGUGUGUGCGCGCGCGCGCGCGCGCGCGUGCGUGCGCGCUUUAGCCUGCUUUCUUUUUUUGGUUUUUUGAGACAGGGUUUCUCUGUAUAGCUUUGGAGCCUAUCCUGGCACUCGCUCUGGAGACCAGGCUGGCCUCGAACUCACAGAGAUCCGCCUGCCUCUGCCUCCCAAGUGCUGGGAUUAAAGGCAUGCACCACCAACGCCUAGCUCAGCCUGCUUUCUUAUAGAACCCAGGACCACCAGACCAGGGGUUGCACCAACCACCACGCGCUGCCUCCUCUCCUAAUAGAUCAUUAAGAAAAUGCCUACAUACUUGAUGACUUAUAGCUUGAUCUUCUGGAGGCAUUUUCUCAAGAGAUUCCCUCCUCUUAUAAGAUUCCAGCUUGUGUCAAGCUGGCAUAAAACUAACCUGUACACAGAUAAUAUUAAAGUUACAGAAUUUUUGUUUGUUUGCUUGUUUUUGGGUUUUUUUGAGACAGGGUUUCUCUGUAGGUUUGGAGACUGUCUUGGAACUCUCUUUGAAGACCAGGCUGGCCUCGAACUCACAGAGAUCCGCUUGCCUCCACCUCCCGAGGGCUGGGACUAAAGGCGUGCGCCAUCACUGCCUGGCCAAAAGUCACAGACUUUUUAAAGUUUAUUAUUUAUUUAUUUUGCAGGAGGGUGGGUUUUGAGUCAGGGUUUCUCUGUGGACUCAAUGUAGCCUGGAACUCAAUCUGUAGAUCAGCCUGUCUCUGCCUCCUGAGGGCUGGGAUUAAAGGCAGGCCUUACCAUGCCUAGCUUUAAAAGUUUAUUUAGCACUCAGGAGGCAGAAGCAGGCAAAUCUCAUUGAGUUAGAGAUCAGCAUAACCUAUAGAGCAAGUUCCAGGACAGCCAGGGGUAUUUUUAUUGAAAAAAUAAAAAAGUUUAUUUUAUUGGGGAAAUUUUCUUUUUUUGUGACAGCAGCUUAUUCCAGGAUAGCCUAGAACUCAUUGUCAUCCUCCUGCCUCAGCCUCUCAAGUACUGUGAUUAAGGUGUGAGCCAUCACAGAUUACUUUCUUUUUCAUUGUGCAAAUAAAAUUUUCUCCACAGGGCAAAUACUACUGUAGAGAUGUCAGUUAUUAAUGGAAACUGGAAAUCAUCUUGUUUUGCUUGAGUUAGAGGCAUUUGGUUGACUGAAGUGUUUGUUUAUUUAUUUAUUUAUUUUUAAUUGGUAAAAGUUUGUGUUGACCUGGAGAUAUGGCCCAGUUCUUUCGAGCAUUUUGUUGCUCUUGAAAAGGUCCCAGGUACCAUUCCAAUGCCGCACCCACAUGGUGGCUCACAACUCCAGUUCCAGGGAAUCCAAUGCCAUCUUCUGACCUCCUAGGGCACCAGGCACCUACAUGGUUACAUUACAUACAUGCAGGUAGAACAUUGUAUACAUAAUACAUAAAAUCUUUAUAAAAUAAUUAAAAAUGCAUAUGUAAAAAACCUACAUAGAAUUAGUUUAUCUGGUAGGCAUAAUUUCCUGGUAUAUUGAGAAAGAUUAUAUAGAAAAAUCUGUGUUCUACUUCUCCACCCCAUUAAGGACCUGUUUUAUGGUACUGGGGUUUGAACCUAGGUAAGCAAGUAUUCUAUGUGCCCAGCCUUUUUAUCUUGUUUGUUUGAGAUAGGGUUUCUCUGUGUAGCCUUGGCUGUCCUGGAACUUGCUGUGUGGUAGACCAGGCUGGCCUCGAACUCAGAUCCACCUGCCUCUGCCUCUCAGGUUUAAAGGUGUGCACCACCACCGCCCAGCACCUUUUAUCUUUUUAAGACAGGGUUUUGUUAAGUUGCCUUGAAUUUGGCAAUCUUCUGCCUUAGCUUACCAAGUAGCUUUAUACUACCAAGCCAAACAGAAAAUCAAAAACUUCCCCCCUUUUUUUAAAAUUUAAAUUCUUUAAUCACUACUCAUAUUUACAUAUCCAGCCCCUCCCAUCCUCCCAUCCUCCCAUGUUCCCCACCAACCACCCCCCAACCACCCCCCAACUCCUCCCCAGAGAUAGUGAGGCCCUCCACCAGGGACCUUCAAAGGCUGUCAUAUCAUUUGGGGGAGGGCGUAGGCCUUCCUUGCUGUAUCUGGGCUACAAUAGUAUCCCUCCAUAGGGAAUGGGCUCCCAAAGUCCAUUGUGCUCUAGGGAUAAAGACUGGCUCCACUGUUAGAGGUUUUUUCUCUCUUUUCAAACAUGACCUGACUACAUAUCCCCUGGCUGACCUGGAAUUUGUGGUGGUCCUCCUGUCUCAAUCUCCCCAGUAUUGUGAUUACGGUCAUGUAACGUUAUGUCCUGCUCAGAAAGUGCAUUUUCAAUAGACAUUUGGUAGAGUUUGAUAGCACUUUGAAAUUUAACAUUUCUGAUAUAAACAAAAUGAUCUAUGUUUUGCUUGAGACAGAAUGCCCCUUGUGAGAGGCUUCUGGGAAUAUUUAGCUAUGUUUUCAAAAUUUGGCAUCUUUACUACUUCAAAACAAAAUCCUGGUAUCCUGGGAGCCUUAAUGAUUUAUGUCCUCUGAGGAUGAUGACAGCAGAGAUGGGUGGCAGAGAUGCUCUGAAUGAGCUGUAGAUCCCUCAGAAAUAGAGUGUAGUACUCCACUGAUAGUAUUUACCCCUUCACUGUCACCCCAGUGUCUUGUCAGUACACACAGAGUUCCUGAUGCUUCAAGGGAGGUACAGAGUGGAGACCUAGGGAAGGAGGCUCAGUGCCCUGCUUUGAGGGGUGGUUGGUGUGGGCAGAGGCUUCCUGGUUGGGCUUUUCGAUUGUAAGAAGGGAGGCAGAGGAGGGAGCACCGUGAUCUCAGCACUGAUAGUAAAGUGUGGGCAGAGGCAGAAAUGUGUAGCAGGAGCUGGAGCUCAUGAAUAGGAAGUCAGCUGUGCUUUUGCAUUUGCUGCCCUGUGCUGGGCAGAUCCUAGAGAAGCAGGCCGUGGCCAUACACUUUCUUCCCUUGCCUGUUGAAUUGGGCAGUUGGGUGAUCCUUGGCAUAUGCCCCCUCUGGAACACUGAGCAGACGUGCUGUGUUAACAUCAGCCGUACCCAGUGUUCAUGAACUGGUAUCACAUCAGGUCUCUGGGGCAGCCCUUUUCCCUGCACUGAAUGGUGCACCGGAAAGGUGGCCUGAAGCAUUCUUUGUCUUUCUUAAGAUCUGUGCUAUUGCUUCAUUCUGGUUCCUGGGAUCAAUCGGAAGAUCUGGGAAUGGCUAGGAGGAAAGGGAGCUAGCUGGUGGGAUCUGGAUGAGUAUUGGUAACCCUGAAUGGCAGCUCAAUCAGGAGUUUCCCAGCCUUGACCCAUAAUUAUGGGUAGAGAAUGAAAGCACCAGCUAUGCCUCUGGAAGAAAGCAGUCUGAUGAGGGAUGAAGUGAGACCUGUUUUGAGCACCAUUGCCUGUGGAGGUUCACCUUGAGGACUAAAUUGAGGGCCAGGAGAGUUACUGCAACUAGGCAGCAUGGUCUGUGAGUAGUGGUGAGGCGUGUCCUGUGUCUGUGAUCAUAAGUAGGUUUGUGUGUGGUGUACACUUGCCUGCUCCUCUGGUCCCCGCCCACAGGCAUAUUUGGAAACGGGGCUGUGCAUGUAGACACGUGCGGCAGAAUCUGGGAGGCUGAAGCCAGGAGCUCUGGUGCCUUUUGUUAGGCCCUCCUUUUCUCACCCUGAAACCCGGUUCUCCCUGUGACUGACUUGAUAGAAUGUAAUACUGAUGGGCAGCAGUAAUCUGGUGACAGACAGGCCAGGAACAACUUGGUCCACGCUGCUUAGACUCAUAAUCCCCUUCCUGUGAUUUAUUGCUUAGAUUCCUCUUGCUCAUCUUGGUCCAUUUUCUUCACCUCCUUAGAAUAGUUAAAAUCUCAGCUGGAUGUUGGUGGUGCACGCCUUUAAUCCCAGCACUUGGGAGGCAGAGGCAGGAGGAUCUCUGUUAGUUUGAGACCAGCCUGGUCUACAAGAGCUAGUUCCAGGACAGCCUCCAAAGCCACAGAGAAACCCAGUCUCGAAAAACCAAACCAAACCAAAACAAAACAAAACAAAAUCUCAGCUUCAUAAUAGUAAUAAAAAAAGAUCAAUUAUUUAUUUUAUGUGUGUGGGUAUUUUUCCACGUUUGUUUGUUCACCACGUGAGUCCUGGGCACCCUCAGAAGCUCGAGAAGAGCGGUGAGACAGUUCUGUGGAUGCUGUGAAUUGAAUCUGGUUCUCUUAAGUGUUGAGACAUCACCAACUCUCCCAGCUCCGCACUUUCACAGUGAGCCCCAUUUUAGUUUUCUUAAAGAGAUGCCUCAGAAGGCAGAUUUCUUUCUUCCUUUUUUUUUUUUUUAAAGAUGUAUUUAUUUAUUUUGUAUACAGUGUUCUGCCUGCACACCAGAAGAGGGCAUCAGAUCUCAUUACAGAUGGUUGUGAGCCACCAUGUGGUUGCUGGGAAUCGAACUCAGGACCUCUGGAAGAGCAGACAGUGCUCUUAACCUCUGAGGCAUCUCUCCAGCCCCAGGAAGCAGAUUUCUGUUCUCUAAGUCCCCCC